rnacentral:rRNA from 1 species
AGCAGCCGCGGUAAUUCCAGCUCCAAUAGCGUAUAUUAAAGUUGUUGCAGUUAAAAAGCUCGUAGUUGAACUUCGGGGUUUACCCAUUGGUCAGGCUUAAUUGUCUGCACUGGUGAGAUGAAUCUCUACCUUCUGAGGAACUUUCAUGCCAUUUAUUUGGUGUGAUGGGAAAUCAGGACUGUUACUUUGAAAAAAUUAGAGUGUUUAAAGCAGGCUAACGUCUGAAUACAUUAGCAUGGAAUAAUGAAAUAGGACGGACUGAUUCUAUUUCGUUGGUUUCUAGGAUCACCGUAAUGAUUAAUAGGGAUAGUUGGGGCAUUAGUAUUCAAUUGUCAGAGGUGAAAUUCUUGGAUUUAUUGAAGACUAACUACUGCGAAAGCAUUUGCCAAGGAUGUUUUCAUUAAUCAAGAACGAAAGUUAGGGGUCGAAGACGAUCAGAUACCGUCGUAGUCUUAACCAUAAACUAUGCCGACUAGGGAUCGGACGAAGUUAAUUUUAUAAUGACGCGUUCGGCACCUUACG